CGGCCGUCCGUCGCGCUCCUACGAUUACGCGCUCUUCUCGCGCUCCGCGGUUCCUGCCAUUUUACGAACUUUGACGUUCUGCAGUUGUACCUUUCGAGAUGGCAGGUGUAGUGUGUUUAGUCAUCUUAGAAACAGGUGAGCGUAAAAAGCUCGUGCUGCCGACAGGAGCCUAUGCAGAACUUCUAGCGGCUUUGGCGCCAUUUGUGCCCGUCAACGAGAACACACUGCUCCAGGUCCACGGCGACGACCUGGAUGACUUUAUUGACCUAGAGGCAGAUGUCAUAAUUCCCUGACAAUGCUGGCCCCCCUGAUGAGCGUCUUGGUCUCAGUGAUGGCUUCUCCAUCAUCAGGUGCAUGUGCCACUUCAAAAGCAGUUCGACUAUUUGGACUUCAAAUUGCCAUCAUUCGGCCCAUACGAAGAGGUCCUACAGCGAAAAGAGCCUUUGGGGGGGCCGGUGAGGUGGGCAAUCAUUGACCGCCUUUUUCAAGCGUGUUUCGAGAUAGCACGGUAUCCUUCCAAGGAACUUUAUUGCACUGCUGUGGAGCAACUAAUUCAAAAAUAUCCGCACUUGCGUGACAAAGUGAAGAAAGGCAGUGGCAUGGACAACAAUGACCUCAUCGUUUAUGGGGAGACCCUGGAGUCACUGCUUUCUCGAUUUGAGCUACACAAAGCCACGGGUGAAAGCAUUGGAGUUAGUCAAUUUUUGCAAUAACUUUUGCUAGGCAAAAAAAAAUUUCAGAUACAUUUCCUCGGCAAAGUUCCUGUAAAAAUUAUUUUGCCUAACAAAAGCAGCCGUGGCUUCUGUGGCCGGCAGGUUGCCCAAGCCAUGGUAGAACAGUGCUUGCUUUAGAGGGACACGAAAGAGAAAAUUUAUUCGAGCUUUAUUAAAUAAUUCUUCUACCACACCGAAAAAACAACUCUUACUGUGAGAAUCGGCUUGAUAAGCCAGACAACAUGCAAAAACGAAAACUGGUGUCGCCACCACCACCUUAUGAUUCCUGCACCAGCUCGCUGUGAUAUGGAAUUUGACGGUGUCUGUUCGGAUCUAGUGAAUGUUCUAUUGGCCAAUAUUUAUGAAUUCUGUUCUAAAGGAGUCCAAGAAUAAACUUAGUUGAAGUAUAUGACUCCACACUGACGUGCUGGUGCAGCAUAAAAUCUGAAAAAUGAAAGUUAAAUCUUCAUUUUCUCUUGCAUUAAUCAGCUUAUUGCCACAAUGUUCAUGAAUAUAAAGUUCUGAAAGGUUGUUUUAUCAGUCUAAAAUGAUUUACUGUUUCUCUUUAGUGUUGCUGUAAUGAACCUUUAGCAACAAAAUGUGUCUUAGUAUGCCACUGGUAUUCUCAGUGAGGGCAAAAGCACCAGCAGCAUGCUCAAUGGUUCUGUACCAACUGAUAAUUUGAAGGAUGUCCUUUGCCACUAGGGUUAGGCCAACGUGGCUCUGUUUUAAUCACCGUAAGUGUAAUAUACAAAACUUAAUGGCCCAGAACGGGUAAUUCAGGGGGGAGUUGAAUUGGCCAUUUUUAUUUCUUUUUUUUCUUUAUCAUGGACUUCUCACAUUACACUUUGUCAUAACGCAUUCACUUUAGAGUAACUGUGGAGAGUAAGGUGGUUUGGUAUUCAGACAUGCCUGCUGUGUGUAAACAGUGCUAGAUGAACAAUACAAAGAGACACCAUAGAUGCUGACUAGCAACAUGAAGGGGAUUGAGGGCAGCUACAAAUAUACAUCCUUGUAGUUGCACCUAGAUAGCACUAUGUUCAAUUUGUGACACAAGCAUAUGACAUCCAUCACAACCGCAUGUCUAGAAACAGACAAGGGCAACACGCUCAAUUACCUUUUAGACUAUCUAAGAAGCACUACAAUUUUGAGGCAACGAAAUUGAAAUCUGGCUUAUGCCCAUGAAUACCGAAGUACAGUUGUGCAACAUGUUCCUCUUCCGUGGAAAAAGGGCUGCAUACGUUUUCUUUGUGCACCAGGGGGAGUGGUAUCAGUUAAUGGCUGUUUUCACAUAUAUAUUUUCAGUCGUGUGUAUUAGCAAUCACCACUUUCCUCAUCUGAGUGAGCGCCUUUAGUAGAAAGUUUGAAAGUUGAUAGAACAUGUUGCUCUUGGUUGUUGCAGUUUUCUUCCUAACUAUCCAUUCAUUGCACUAUGCCCCCAUGUCUUAGGCAACUAGCUGUUUGAAGGUCAGUAUGCUAUCAAUGGGUCUAAUGAUCAUCUCUAGUGCUAACUGCCUCAUUUGCUUGUUGCAAUACUUAAGAGUUAGAUUUUGUAUAUUGUGUCAUUUGUUUGUUUUCACUGUACUUUAGUUUCACUGCAUCUUGAAUGCGUUGUGAUAGUUUUUCUUUUGAAUUGAAAGAUUUGGUGAGCAGUUGCCGGCAUUGAUGUGAUAGUAUGAAUGCUUGCUGUAUUUAUCACGAUUGUUUCAUUUCGCUGGGGCAGUAAUGGUCAUUAGCAGCAGAUGCCAUUUGUCCUUCCGUGCAAUAUUUUUAUGUUGCAUAGUAUUGUUCAUAAUGAUCCAUUGAAUGCACUGCACACCCAUGUUCUGGAUAACUGCCUGUUUGAAGGAAUGAUCUGCGUAUUCAGUGGGUGUAAUGUUAACAUCUCCACUACUGACUGUGUAUUUAAGAGUUGGAUUUUGUAUCGUGUGUCACUUGUUUGUUUUCACUAUGCUUUAGUUUCACUGCAUCUUGAAUGCGUUGUGAUAGUUUUUCUUUUGAAUUGAAAGAUUUGGUGAGCAGUUGCCGGCAUUGAUGUGAUAGUACGAAUGCUUGCUGUAUUUAUCACAUGAUUGUUUCAUUUCAUCUGGGGCAGUAAUGGCCGUUAGCAGCAGACGCCAUUUGGCCUUAAGUGCAAUAUUUUUAUGUUGCAUAGUAUUGUUCAUAAUGAUCCAUUGAAUGCACUGCACACCCGUGUUCUGGACAACUGCCUGUUUGAAGCAAUGAUCUGCGUAUUCAGUGGGUGUAAUGUGAACAUCUCUACUACUGACUGUGUAUUUAAGAGUUGGAUUUUGUAUUGCGUGUCACUUGUUUGUUUUCACUAUGCUUUAGUUACACUACAUCUUGAAUGUGUUGUGAAAGUUUUAUUUUGCCGUGAGAGAUGUAGGCAGAUGCCGGCACUAAAUUAUAGUGCGAAUGCUUGCUGUAUUUAUCACAUGAUUGUUUCAUUUCGUCUGGGACAGUAAUGGCCGUUAGCAGCAGACGCCAUUUGGCCUUAAGUGCAAUAUUUUUAUGUUGCAUAGUGUUGUUCAUAUUGACCCAUUGAAUGCACUUCACGCCCAUGUCCUGGACAACUGCCUGUUUGAAGUAAUGAUCUGCAUGAUAUUCAGUGGGUCUAAUUUGAACACAUCUAGUACUGACUGUGUAUUUACGAGUUAGAUUUUAUAUUCUGUGUUAGUUGUUUGUUUUCACUGUACUUUAGCGGGAUUGCAUAUUGAACGUGUUGUGAUAUAUUUUAUUUUGCUAUGAGAGAUCUAGUGGGCAGUUACCAGCCCCAGUCUGUGUAUUAGUACAAAUAUUUAUUAUGCUUAUCACAGCAUUUUAUAAGGCCAUAGUUUUGUGAUGAUUAACUCAUGCCUGACUUUUUUAUGAGAAACCUGUCAGAACUAAUAAACAAUCACUCAUGCUUGGGA